rnacentral:lncRNA from 1 species
GUCUUCCCGCGUACAGCCGCCCUGAUGGAUCGCUGGGGCCUCGGGCGGGGUGCACCGCUGUCCUUUCGCCGCCGUCCGGGCGGCACUGCACGUGCAGCGCGCGGUCCCCCACCCAGCGCAGCCCGCAACACCCCUGGUCUGCCGCAGGAGACCCUGCCGAUGCCACUCAGGGUCAAGACUCUGGCGCGGUGGAAACUGCAGAGCAAAAGGAAACACAGACAAAAACAGUGAGAAGGUAAAAAGAGAGCGAGAGAAAACAGCUAGGGAGCAAGGAGCAGAAACCCUGCAAGAACAGAGACAAAAAGCGGAAGGUCCAUCAGCGGAAGCGGGCUGCCCUAAUCACCUGCGAUGCGUGUGUUUAUGGAACCUUGUCACUGUCACCACGCUGGUGUCCACACGCAGCUUAAUGAGGUCCAAAGCGCCAAGCUACUUUAUUUUCCAUAUAUGAUUUUCAAUGUUUCCUUUUGCAAAAAGGAGCGGGGGCUGUGUAGGGGGGAGUGCAGGGAAUAGGGUGGUGGAGGAAGUUAAGGAGGGGAGGGGGGAGAGCGGAGAGGCUGGGUGGGCGGGGGAGAUACUACUGCCUUUAGUAAAGAUUGCAUAGAAAAUCCG